AUUGAACGCUGGCGGCAGGCCUAACACAUGCAAGUCGAACGGUAACAGGAAACAGCUUGCUGUUUCGCUGACGAGUGGCGGACGGGUGAGUAAUGUCUGGGAAACUGCCUGAUGGAGGGGGAUAACUACUGGAAACGGUAGCUAAUACCGCAUAACGUCGCAAGACCAAAGAGGGGGACCCUCGGGCCUCUUGCCAUCGGGUGUGCCCAGAUGGGAUUAGCUUGUUGGUGGGGUAACGGCUCACCAAGGCGACGAUCCCUAGCUGGUCUGAGAGGAUGACCAGCCACACUGGAACUGAGACACGGUCCAGACUCCUACGGGAGGCAGCAGUGGGGAAUAUUGCACAAAGGGCGCAAGCCUGAUGCAGCCAUGCCGCGUGUAUGAAGAAGGCCUUCGGGUUGUAAAGUACUUUCAGCGGGGAGGAAGGGAGUAAAGUUAAUACCUUUGCUCAUUGACGUUACCCGCAGAAGAAGCACCGGCUAACUCCGUG
rnacentral:rRNA from 1 species